rnacentral:rRNA from 1 species
CCUACGGGACGCACCAGUAGGGAAUCUUCGGCAAUGGACGAAAGUCUGACCGAGCAACGCCGCGUGAGUGAAGAAGGUUUUCGGAUCGUAAAACUCUGUUGUUAGAGAAGAACAAGUAGGAGAGUAACUGCUCUUACCUUGACGGUAUCUAACCAGAAAGCCACGGCUAACUACGUGCCAGCAGCCGCGGUAAUACGUAGGGGGCGAGCGUUGUCCGGAAUUAUUGGGCGUAAAGCGCGCGCAGGCGGUCCCUUAAGUCUGAUGUGAAAGCCCACGGCUCAACCGUGGAGGGUCAUUGGAAACUGGGGGACUUGAGUGCAGAAGAGGAGAGCGGAAUUCCACGUGUAGCGGUGAAAUGCGUAGAGAUGUGGAGGAACACCAGUGGCGAAGGCGGCUCUCUGGUCUGUAACUGACGCUGAGGCGCGAAAGCGUGGGGAGCAAACAGGAUUAGAUACCCGGGUAGUC